rnacentral:tRNA from 1 species
GGGCGCAUAACUCAGUUGGUUAGAGUGCCAUCUUCACACGGUGGAAGUCGCUGGUUCGAGUCCAGCUGUGCCCA